UAAUACGAAGGGUGCAAGCGUUACUCGGAAUUACUGGGCGUAAAGCGUGCGUAGGCGGUUUGUUAAGUCAGAUGUGAAAGCCCCGGGCUCAACCUGGGAACUGCAUUUGAUACUGGCGAGCUAGAGUACGGUAGAGGGUGGUGGAAUUCCCGGUGUAGCGGUGAAAUGCGUAGAGAUCGGGAGGAACAUCUGUGGCGAAGGCGGCCACCUGGACCAGUACUGACGCUGAGGCACGAAAGCGUGGGGAGCAAACAGG
rnacentral:rRNA from 1 species